UUCAAUAAAUUAUGGGAGUUCUGUUGUC
rnacentral:piRNA from 1 species